rnacentral:rRNA from 1 species
GACGAACGCUGGCGGCGUGCUUAACACAUGCAAGUCGAACGGAAAGGCCCUGCUUUUGGGGGGUGCUCGAGUGGCGAACGGGUGAGUAACACGUGAGUAACCUGCCCUUGACUUUGGGAUAACUUCAGGAAACUGGGGCUAAUACCGGAUAGGAGCUCCUGCUGCAUGGUGGGGGUUGGAAAGUUUCGGCGGUUGGGGAUGGACUCGCGGCUUAUCAGCUUGUUGGUGGGGUAGUGGCUUACCAAGGCUUUGACGGGUAGCCGGCCUGAGAGGGUGACCGGCCCCAUUGGGACUGAGAUACGGCCCAGCCUCCUCCGGGAGGCAGCAGUGGGGAAUAUUGCACAAUGGGCGGAAGCCUGAUGCAGCCACGCCGCGUGCGGGAUGACGGCCUUCGCGUUGUAAACCGCUUUCGCCUGUGACGAAGCGUGAGUGACGGUAAUGGGUAAAGAAGCACCGGCUAACUCCGUG